GUUGCAGUUAAAAAGCUCGUAGUUGAACCUUGGGCCUGGUUGGCCGGUCCGCCUCACCGCGUGCACUGGUCCGACCGGGUCUUUCCUUCUGGGGAGCCGCAUGCCCUUCACUGGGUGUGUCGGGGAACCAGGACUUUUACUUUGAAAAAAUUAGAGUGUUCAAAGCAGGCCUAUGCUCGAAUACAUUAGCAUGGAAUAAUAGAAUAGGACGUGUGGUUCUAUUUUGUUGGUUUCUAGGACCGCCGUAAUGAUUAAUAGGGAUAGUCGGGGGCAUCAGUAUUCAAUUGUCAGAGGUGAAAUUCUUGGAUUUAUUGAAGACUAACUACUGCGAAAGCAUUUGCCAAGGAUGUUUUCAUUAAUCAGUGAACGAAAGUUAGGGGAUCGAAG
rnacentral:rRNA from 1 species